rnacentral:rRNA from 1 species
UACGAAGGUGGCAAGCGUUAUCCGGAUUGAUUGGGCGUAAAGCGUCCGCAGAUGGUUUGAUGCGUCUCGGGUCAAAUCCUGAAGCUUAACUUCAGGGCUGCUCGGGAAACGGUCAUUCUAGAGACUGGAAGAGGCAAGCGGAAUUAUCGGUGUAGCGGUAAAAUGCGUUAAUAUCGAUAAGAACACCAAAAGCGAAGGCAGCUUGCUGGUACAGUUCUGACAUUAAGGGACGAAAGCGUGGGGAGCGAAUGGG